rnacentral:rRNA from 1 species
ACGUAUGGGGCUAGCGUUGUUCGGAAUUAUUGGGCGUAAAGGGCGUCUAGGUGGUGGGUUAAGUGGCGUGUGAAAUCCCUGGGCUCAACCCAGGAACUGCCUCCAAAACUGGCUCGCUUGAGUUUGGGAGAGGAGAGCGGAAUUCCCGGUGUAGCGGUGAAAUGCGUAGAUAUCAGGAAGAACACCAGUGGCGAAGGCGGCUCUCUGGCCUAGAACUGACGCUGAUGCGCGAAAGCGUGGGUAGCGAACAG